CUUUAAUGAUAUAAUAUAUUAAAUAAUAUAUAAAAAUUUAUGUUAAAAUAUUGAAAUACACAUAUAUAAUAUAUUCUAAUGAAUUUAUAUUCUAAUAUAAAAAUUAAAUUAUACUAUAUAUAUAUAUAUAUAUAUAUAUAUAUAUAUAUACAUACAUAUAUAUAUAUAUAUAUAUUUAUUUAUUUAUUUUUUUUAAAGAAAAAACUAGGCAUACACAGCUGUACUAUUAUUUAAAUUAAGCUGAAAUAAAUUAAAUUAAGGAAAGCUGUUGCAGCUGAUUGGAAUCUGUUCUGAUGUCUUUUUACAGAUGAGCUCUUCAGACUGAUGUCUGGACACAUUUAUAAGACUUGGAGUCAAUAAAAUAGUCAAUACCUGCAGUGACUCUCCAACAUCUCAACAUCUUCAGCUCGUGCGACAGAAGAACUGAUUCAACCAGAAUAAUCAGUGUUGGUUUGGACGUCUCUCUUAUCUCCGGUGCUCUUCCCCUGUGGUUCCUGUCAAAUUCUUCAGCUCCUGAGACAGGAGAUCUCACACUCUUCACACGCGGCCCAUCUGUCAGCCGCAGCUCCAUGAUGAGCUCUGUUUCUUCAGGGAGACGGGCUGCUAAAAGCUUUUCAACACCAACAUCUCACCCUGAUCCCACAGAAAUCAAAGAGAGCAAAUCUCUCCUGUCGAAACGCAGUGGAUGUGAAGGAAGGAAGAGUGAGACUGUAGCUGAUCAAAGCAGAGUUAAUCACGUCCGAUCACAACAUGAGCAUGUGUGUUCAUAACUGCUUAUGAUCAUAUGCAGAUAUUACUACAGCAAACAAAUCUGCCUUGACUGAACAAGAGUAAUGUCAGGUUUUCAUAUCUGUUGCAUUUCUGAGCUCAUGCAUAAUAAAUAAACACAAGAAACAGAUACAGCUGAGAAUGCUGAACUCCCAAUUAAACUAGUUUUACAUGUUGGCAUGUAAUUGCUCAGAUUUUUUAAAAUGGUUUUUAGUGUGUUUCUAUGGCACUGCUAGACAGUCCAAUUAGUCUAGUAUCAGUCUAAUCUGGUACUCGUAUCAGUAAAGUAAUGCCGCAAUAAACUAAAGAAAUGAUUAAUAUGUAAGUCUGCUUUAAAAAAUUACACAUUUGAACACAGCCAGAAUGUGCAUGCAUUACGAGACAUGUUCAAAUUCUUACUCUUUUUAACAAGGGUAUAAUUGUGUCUUUACGUGGACUAAAGGAACACGGUAAAAACUGACAUCUUAACAAGGCCAGAAUGUGUUUGUCUAGGUGGUAUACAUGGUCAAAUUUGACAUAUUCUGUUUAAAGACGUU
ensembl:lncRNA